AUGUUCAUGUUUCCUACAGUAAAAGUUCCUGGUGAUACCACAGAGAGUCUCGUGUGUUCAUUCAGGAGCGGCUGUGGUGAGCUGACACUAAGCCAAGAAUACGGACACCAUCCCGCUGUAGCGGUGAGGUGUAACAUGCAAGUGGAGGAUGAAGAGCUCUUGGGCGCCGGAGGAGGAAGGUCGGAAAGGGCCACUCCCGAGACGGACGCUGAGUUCCACCAGCUGGCGGCCCUGGCGUCAUCCACCGCUUAUGCCCAGCCAAAUGGGGUAACCCAGAGGCGCGGAGUGGUGCGGGGAGAUAGCACCGGAGGAGAGGAAGGUUCACCUUCCCCAGGCCCGCAAAAGAUGGUGUUUCUGGAGGAGAGGAUGUCGGCGAUGGAGACCACCCUGGCAGUGAUGUCGAGGGCGAUGGAGCGCCUGGCGGUUUUGGCGGAGCCGGAGCGAGGAAGGGAACUCCGGGCUAGCUCAAUGUGGGACGUGAGCAUGGGAAGCAGCCAGGGCUUUGCAGACCUCCCAGCACCGAAGGGAAGGGAAAUGCGAAAGGAGCCCGGUGCCCGGCCCAAGAUCCAAACGAGCCUGACGCGGGUGGAGGAGAGUGACGACGAAGGGGAAAAGCCUCCGAGAAUCCCGGCUACGCUCCCAACUGAGACCCUGGUGCCCCUGGCGAAUGCCGGGCGUGGCACAGGACAAAGGGAAGCAGCAGCGGGGCCCACUGGCCCGCAAGGGGGCUUGCGACGGGCGGAGAAUUGGGGAUUGCCACCACAGGGACCCCUACCGAGACGAGAGGAACUAAGGAUCGAGUUUGGGGGAGAGUCCUCUGAACUGGAUUUUUUCCUGACCACGGUGAGGGGCUAUAUGGAGGACAAUGCCCACACUUUUAGAACGGAAUCCAGCCGGGUACGGGCCAUUGGUGCAGUGUUGAAGAGGGGAGCGGCCAGCUGGUACGUUCAACUACACGCGCGGCGCGACCCAUGUCUGGGGUCACUCCGACGCUUUAUGGGGGCCCUGGAGACCCGUUUCCGAGAUCCACUGGAGCAGAUCCGGGCGAGGGAGGAGUUGAAGACCGUCUCCCAGGGGCAGAGGUCGGUAUCUGAGUAUGCGGAGGAGUUCCAAUGCCUCGCUGAAAAGGUGCCGGAAUGGUCUGCAGUGACAAAGAUAGAACUCUUCAAAGAGGGGCUCAGGCGGGAGAUCCUCUCCUGGGCGGUGCAUCGUGAUGAGCCUGACACACUGCGCGGAUGGAUUCAGCUGGCGGGGCGCAUCGAGACAUCGCUGGCCCAGGCGAGGAGGCACCGAGGAGGGCUACAGCAGCGGCCGCAGAUGAAAGAGGGGAGCCGGAAGGAGGGAUCAACCCCAGCCGGGAGGAGAACGGAGCCGACAGGGAACGUGAGCACCAGCAGGAGGGGCUGCUUCGUGUGCGGCCGUUUGGGCCACAGGGCUGCCGAGUGCUGGCAGAGAAAAGGGGAAGGCGGAGGCCCGCCCAAACCAAGAGCCGUGGCAGGAAACGCGCCGAGGAAGAACCCCCGAUGA
rnacentral:lncRNA from 1 species